UACGUAGGGUGCAAUCGUUAAUCGGAAUUACUGGGCGUAAAGCGUGCGCAGGCGGUUUUGUAAGACCGAUGUUAAAUCCCCGGGCUUAACCUGGGAACUGCAUUGGUGACUGCAAGGCUUGAGUGUGUCAGAGGGAGGUGGAAUUCCGCGUGUAGCAGUGAAAUGCGUAGAUAUGCGGAGGAACACCGAUGGCGAAGGCAGCCUCCUGGGAUAACACUGACGCUCAUGCACGAAAGCGUGGGGAGCAAACAGG
rnacentral:rRNA from 1 species